AGAACUGUGGCUUAGAGAAAAGAAUUUGAAGAAAAAUACGAUUCAUUUUGUUGACCUCCUAUGGAUUUCACUUAUAUAAUUGAGUAACAUGAUCUAAACUUAAAUAGCUGUUUAUCUCUGAAGUUACGUCGUUAAAAAAUAUUGGUUUCAUGGAAAUUUUAGAAUCAGUAUUUAAAAAGUUUAAUUAUAUUAGAGUAUAGUUGACUUACAAUGUUGCAUCAGUUUCAGGUGGAUAGCAAGGUGAAUCAGUCAUACAUAUAAACAUAUCCACUCUUUUUUUCCCAUAUAUUCUGAUCACACUGGCUCCUACUCUCCCACGUUACAGUUUGAAAGCUGUUAUCUGCAAUUUCUUGACCAUCAGGACCUCUUUUGCACAGGAGUUUUCACUUCCUUCCAUGGCCUAUUUCAAUUUAUCCCUGAUUUUACUUGCCCUGAUUUCCUCUGCCAACUUGCAAGAGUCUGAUCAAAUCUAUUUCUGCCAAGCGUGGCUUCUAGUAUUUUCGUGUUCACUCCUCUGUGAGGAUGUGAUGGACUAACACCCAAACCAGGUCCUCCCGCAUCCCUCCAAUCUGAAAAAUCUCUCAACUUGAUCCUAGACCUUAUUUAUUCAUAUGCCUAAUAAAAGUAUGGAGUAAUAUAAGGUACAAGAAUAGAAACCACUCCCAAAUACACUGCAAAGGUAAAUGUUCCUCCACUGCAAAGGAGGCUAAGGGAUAUUUUUUAGGGUGAUGGAAAUGUCCUAAAAUGGGAUUGUGAUGAGGAUUACACCGUUCUGUGCAUUUGCUAAAAAUCACUGAACCAUACACUUAAAAUAGGUCCAUUGAAUGGUAUGAAAAUUAUACUACAUAAGUAGAGAGUAGUAUGGUGGCUCCUAGGGGCUGGGGGAGUGGGAAAUGCAGAGAUGUUGGUCAAGAUAUUCCCCCAAAAUUGUUUCACGUACAUAAGAUAUAUAUGUUCUGGAGAUCUAGUUAACUAGUCUGUGACUAGUUAUAUUGUAUUCUUGGGUCAUAUUGUAUUCUUGAAAUACAAUGACUAGUUAUAUUUAUUCUAUAUAUGUAACUAGUUAUAUUGUAUUCUAGGGUCAUAUCGUAUUCUUGAAAUUUGCUAAGAGGGUAGAUUUUAAGUGUUCUCAAAAAAAAAAAAAAGAAAGAAAAAG
rnacentral:lncRNA from 1 species